rnacentral:rRNA from 1 species
UAAGAUGGGGGAUAGCGUUGUUCGGAUUUACUGGGCGUAAAGGGCGCGUAGGCGGAUUUUUAAGACGGGGGUGAAAUCCCGGAGCUCAACUCCGGAACUGCCUUCGAUACUGAAAGUCUGGACCACGGUAGAGGUGAGUGGAAUUCCGAGUGUAGAGGUGAAAUUCGUAGAUAUUCGGAGGAACACCAGUGGCGAAGGCGGCUCACUGGACCGUUGCUGACACUGAGGCGCGAAAGCGUGGGGAGCAAACAGG